CUCCCACGGGGUUUGGGAGCAGAGAGCUGCUGCGGUCCGGGAUCCGCCGGUGUGGGACUUCCGGUAAACACAGGAAGUGCCCGGCCUUAGAGGAAUUUUGCCUCUGUGUGUCCUGAGUUCACCAGGCGGGUUUCUUGCAGGGGAAAAGAUGGUCCUACCUGCAGUUCCAAGGCUCAAGUUUGCUCGUGGGGUACUGCCUAAGUCCUCUCCGCUGUGGCAGCAACCGGGAAGAUCUGCGCCGCUCUUUCCAGGAGCCUCCGUGCACCAGGGUUCCAGAUGGCGUUUGGUGUUUUCCUCUGGCCGGAUUUAUCCAGAUCUCCACUACUCCAGCACCAUGCCUGCUACAUGAUGCCAUGCUUCCUACCAAUAAACCUCUGAAACUAACACUAAGGAAUCAUACUGAGACCGAGAUGGAAAGUUCUUUCUGGCUGACUCACAGCUCUAGAAGGUGAUGCUUAUAAGAGAUUCUGUCUACAGAUGAUCAUUGCCAUGUGGAAUCAAAGUCAUCUGGGCUGCAAGAACGACUUUUCAGUGACAUAGCUGAGGAUUCUUGAGUAAUGUAGCUGGCUUUGUGUCAUUCAUGAUCUUAUGAGCAAACUCAAUUCAUUGGUUCAUUAAACCGUUCAUUAAACUGGACUCUGAGAGAAUCCCUCAGUCUGUGAGUGUCCUCUCUAUGGAGAGUGACAGGUGGUUCUUUACAUCUCCCUGGAAAAAGUUAACAAGAGAGUGCCUAAACCCUUCUGUAUUAUAUUAAAAUCUUACCAUCUAACUUGA